GUCUACAGCCAUGCCACCAUGAACAAGCACAAUGUCUGAUCUUGGAAGCUAAGCAGGGUUGGGCCUGGUUAGUACUUGGAUGGGAGACCACCUAGGAAGACCAGGUGCCUUAGGCA
rnacentral:rRNA from 1 species